CUGUUCUCAUUGAAGUGUUCCAAAGAAAAAGAGGAAGGCUGAAGUGCCUUUUCAUCAUUAGGAGCUGUGCUUCCCAA
rnacentral:lncRNA from 1 species